CGCGUGCAGGGUACCAGGCUGGGCACACGCCGGGGUGACCACCACCAUCAUCCAGCCCUGUUUAUGGAAGGUAGACAAGAGGUGGGUGGCGGUGCAAAUAUUCCGCUAAAUAAAGUGUCUCCAUUUUAAAAAUACUUGUGCCACCGAUUUUCAGAGACUUCUGAGCGUGUCAGCAUAAUGAAACACACACACACGUGCUUCCUUGCUGCCUCGAUGCAGCCCGCGCUCCGGCAGAAUCCGGGCAGGUGCCCAGUCCCCACUCGGCACCUCGUGGGUCCUGUGGCGGGAACCGCGGGCUGGUUGCGCCCUGAGUGCGGAGUAAGGGGCGGUCAGUGUUACACGCCCACCGGGAUCGCAGGCGCAGUCUCCUGCAGGCGGUGACCCCCAGGCCUGGCUAGCGAGAUUUUGUAUAAAUGGAGUCAUACAAUAUUUGUCCUUUUGUGUCUGGCUGAUUUCACUCAACAUAAUGCUUUCAAGCAGUCUAUCUCUUAGAAGAGAUCAGGACACAGACACACAGAGGGAAGACCGGGUGAAGAUGCAGGAGGAAGACGGCCGCCUACAGGCCAAGGAGAGAGGCUUAGAAGAAACCAACUCUUCCAACACCUUGAUCUUGGACUCCCAGGCACCAGAACUGUGAGAGAACAAAUUUCUGUUGUUUAAACCCCGCAGGCUGUGGUGCUUUGUUAUGGCAGCCCGAGCUUCUCUAGGUCUUCUAAUUCUAGAACAUCGAAUUCUUCCCAAUUAGGAACAAAUACUGUCGUGAACAUUCUUGUGCAUGUUUGACAGUGGAAGUCUGAGGAGCUUGUGGACAGCCAAAAAGUAUGUUCUGUCCUGCAUUCGGGCAGGUUUGCUGUUUCACCCUCAAGGGAGCACAUGGGGAAUUUUCCAUUUACCUGAGGGUUAAAACCAGAAGCUCCGAGAUUUGUCAGUGCUGGGGCAUUCACAGAUGGAAAGAACUGGGACCUUUCUUUUCACCCUUGACCUCUCCCUGCACUUCUAUCCCACCCACGGAUCGCUGUCUCCAUCUGCUUGGCAGGAUCACAACCAGAUUGUGGGCCGCAUCUGACCUGACCACAGCCCACAGCCUCUUUCCUUAAACAGUCCUCUGCAGCCACUACUCCAGCUGGAGGGAAGUCAGGGUGAGUGCAUUCCAGAAUCCCUGCUCACUGUGGCUCUCAUCAGCUUUUAAGUUCUCUCUGCUUAAAAAAAAAAUAAAAAUAAAAAGUACAGAAGGAGUGCAGAGGCUGGGAGAGGGGAAAGGUUAUCGGGGAAGGAAGGAGGCCAGGGAGAAAGGCCCCAUUUGGGGAGCAAGUUCUCCCGUGGUAUUUGGGAGGCAGCAAAGGUUCCCCAGGCCUGGCCCCUUCCCAACAGGUCUUGGUGAGGUGGUAGGACUUGGCUGUGGGCCCACUGUCUCAUCUUACUAUUCUGCCCGUAACAAGCCCGAAGUGAGGGCGCAGCCAGCUGGGCAGGUCCAGGGAGGCUGAGAGAGGCCAAGCACAGGGCGGGAGGAGCAGCCAACAGUCUUUUGUCAUCUGUCCAGGGCAGCGGAAGGCCACGUCCUCCCAGCUCCGUUUCUGACUGGACGAGCAGACUGCACAGUGUGAGUCAGCCUGUUGUGGAAGCAUCUCAGAGUCGUUGCUCUGAACUGCUGACAAAGCGCAGAGAAGCAGGAAGCCCUCACCCCUGGCAGCCCAGAUGUUCCCUGAGGGCUCCGCUCUUCCCCCACUGUGGCCAGAGGCCUCCCUCACAAACCCUAAUCUGGCCUUGUCUAAAGGUUGUUUAACAGCUCCAGGCAGAAGUCCUCCUGUGCCCCACCCUCGAGGUCUGACCCCUAGAGUUCAUCUCUUCCUACUCCUCACGUCCCUCCCACCCCUGCCUAGGUCAGGCCUCCCUGCUCUGUACUCUCCUGGCUCUUGCUCUCCUGACCUUAACACUCAUCCCGGUUCAAUGUCAUGACUUCUCAUUUGCCGUCUUCCCCACUGGACUGGAGGCCCCUCCACAGCAGGGGCCAUGCUGUAGGCUGUGCAGAGCCCACGGUGGGCCCUCGUGCAUUUGACGAUGACAGGAAAUGCUUUGCACAUUCCACUGUAAUUGCUUGUCUGUCUCCGAGGGCAGGCCUGCCGUUGGCUCAUUUCUAUAUUCCCAACUUGUAGUCUGAUCAAAGACCUAGUUCCUCGUUCCAAAGAUGUACAGGCUCUGAUUUCGGUAACCAGGUGGGCCUUUCCAUGAACUGGUCGGGAACGGACUCCAAGGUCCAUCGCCCACUCUCCACAUACAGGGUGGGGACGACAGCGAGGUCCCCUAGCCAGAGGAGAGGAAAGGGUUACAGCUCUCAACUCUGGGGCCCUCCCACUCUGCCCCCCCUGACAGGUGAGACAGGUGUGCUGGGUGUGGUCCCAGCAGCCCUGGGGCCCCAAGGAGCUGGGCCUCCUCCUUCCAGGUUCAGAUCUGGAAUAGGACAGUGGUUUUGCCCGCAGUUCCAACGGGUGUAAUGGCAAUGGCAGGGGGUCACAGUGAAUGUCCCAGUUCCCCUGGUUGUGUUGGGACACGGAGCCAUAAGGCCCCUUCUUCACAGGGCUACUGGGUGUCUUGGUCUCUCCCUGAAGUAGCUGGGCAUCCAGGGGCUGGGCUGCUUAAACAUUAAUCCUUUCAAAUCAUAUCACUAAAAUCUACUGCACCUGUAUUUCAAACAUAGCAUGUAUGCCUGAAAUUGCACAACUACAUUAUGGCAAAGUCACAUCAUCUAGAUCAUAAUUUAAGGCUUAGAGGCUUCAACUAAUGUAGGUGACAGUCUGAUGGCCAACCGAGAAAGUCUGGUUACAACGUGGCAUUUACUGGGAGGUCCAGGUCCCAUCCAGCACCUUGCACAUACAUGCAUAGGAAGCACUCAGUGAGUGUGGAAUGAAUGAAUGACACAACGUUUCUAUCCUGAGUCUGUGGGUCUUUUCCUAUUCAGAAAUCUGUCCCCAGUUAUCACACACACACUCAUCACAGAGCAGCAGGUCUUUGCUCGUUGAAGGGAAGCAGGGAGUUGGGCACAGUGAGCUGAUUCACCCUUACAAUCUUUAAGUCACUAGAGCCAAAGAGGGGUGCAGGUGGGAAUCUUCUAGAACAUUGCAUUUUUUGCAAAAAGAGGCAGUCAGCAAGUGUUGGAGGGAGUACAGGUAGGGAACACAAUCCAUUAAGCCUACAGAGGUGGCUGAAGCUGGUACUGCGGCUCUCCCUUGGGGUAGGGGCCGCUGGAAGGUGAGCAAAUAUUUCACCUGGCAGUGGGAUAGCCACUGGGGUCAGAGUGGUGAAGAAGACAAAAUUGGUUCCCCCUUCACUAAGAGACGUUAAGUAGGUAAACAAAUACGUGAAGGAGGCAAUUCCAUAUGAUGGUAAGUGCUGUGAGGCCCAAAGACAGGCAACAGAAUCCACUCUAGCUGGUUAAGCAGAGGGGGAUUUGUUAUAAUUAGUUCAUUACAGAAUUUCCAGGAGGCCUAGGGAACCACAUGUGGAUGCCACAGAGGCAAGGACACCCCAGCCAGGAAGAUGCUUAGCCACACUAUGGACUGUUCCGGUGGAAACCUUCCUGCUACCACCACUGUCCACCUCCGACGCCAUGAACCGGCACCAGCGUCCAGUUCUGCCCCAGCGGCUGCUGCAGAAGAACCAAAUCCCUGCCUGGGUGCCUUUAAGUCAUGUGAGGAUGCUCCUGCCUACGAGAGCCUGGGUCCCACGCACAGCUCUGGCUUUUGGGAGGCCUGGGAAAAGGAGUUUUGAGCUUGCCAGACGCUGUGGAAGAGUACACUAGUGGGAGACUGUGGAGAGUCCUGAGGGAUCUAAUCUCCACUGUUGCCACAACACCCAAGAAACUGUUAAAAAUUAUAAUGUCUAGUGGUGUAGCUAUGGAAGAUGUUUGAUUUUUUCUUUCAUUUUAAUGCAUUUUAUUUUAUUUGUUUUUGCCAAAUUUUUAUAAAUGAAUGUGUAAUAGUCACAAAACAAAGGGCAAAAACCGAUAGAGUUAUUUUCAGAAGAAAGGAGAGAGAGUGGAUUCCAGCAGAGGAAAAAAUUUUCCCAGCCCAGCUUGGAGGGAGGGUUCUUCUGAUGCCCCUGGCAGCCUGAUGGCCACUUACCUCCUAGGUGUUUAUCUAAGUGAAAUGAAAACUUGUAUUCAUACAAAAACCUAUAUAUGAGUAUUUAUAGUGGCUUUAUUCAUAAAUGUGCAAAACUGGAAACAGUCCACCGUCCUUCAACUGGUAAAUGGAUAAACAAACGGUGGUACAUCCAUGUAAUAAAAUACUACUCAGCAAUAAAAAGUAGCUAACCACUGACACACGCCACAAUAUGGAUGAAUCCCAAGGGUGUUAUGCUGAGCGAAAGAAGUGUGGGAGAUCAAAAUUGGCCACCCUGAAAUAUCUCUCUUUACCUUGAUUAUUUUCUCUGAUGGACAUUUGACCUCCCCCAAAACUGCCUAAAGAAUUUAACAUAAUUUAACAUAAUUCCUGUUCCAGGAAGGAGUUACUAUCAUAUGAUGGCUGUAAUAUAAUGCAAAAUAGAUGUUACAAUAGAAAGGCACCAACAAGCCCAUCUUAUCAAAAAUUCUGUCUAAGUGGCCCUGCAAAGAGUUGCCAGACGAACAUUUACAUUUAUAAGGGAAAUCUCCAUUUGCAAAGGUAUCUCCCUCUCUGUGCUGGGGGGAAGGGGAGAUGGCCUCUCUAGAAACUUAUCAGUGUGGAGAGUGAGGCAUUAAAUCUACAUACCCUUGAUUACUGUGAUUUCUGUCUCCCUCCCCACCCACAAUGUCCUCCUUUGUCUUUAGCUGAAGAUGGUAUUUAAGAUGAGAAUCUCUGCCAUUGUGUUGAGAAACUCAGUUUCCCUGGUUUCUCCCAUCUAUACAUGUUAUUAAACUUGGUAUUAUUUUCUCCUGCUAACCUGUCUUUUUAAUUAUUUGGCCAGCCAGAAGAACCUUAAGGGAAAGGGCAGAGGGGGAUUCUCCCUCUUCCCCGACAGAAGCCAGACACAAAAGGCUCACACUUUAUGAUUCCAUUUAUAGAACAUUCUGGAAUAGGCAAUCAUUAGGGAGAGAGAACUGAUCAGAGAUUGCCAGAGGCUGGGAGUGGGGGAAGCAGUUGACUACAAAAGGGAGUGGAGGAUUUUUUAUAGUGAUGGAAAUAUUCUAUAUCUUG